rnacentral:rRNA from 1 species
AGUGAACGCUGGCGGCAGGCCUAACACAUGCGAGUCGAACGGCAGCACAGUAAGAGCUUGCUCUUACGGGUGGCGAGUGGCGGACGGGUGAGGAAUACAUCGGAAUCUACUUUUUCGUGGGGGAUAACGUAGGGAAACUUACGCUAAUACCGCAUACGACCUACGGGUGAAAGCAGGGGAUCUUCGGACCUUGCGCGAUUGAAUGAGCCGAUGUCGGAUUAGCUAGUUGGCGGGGUAAAGGCCCACCAAGGCGACGAUCCGUAGCUGGUCUGAGAGGAUGAUCAGCCACACUGGAACUGAGACACGGUCCAGACUCCUACGGGAGGCAGCAGUGGGGAAUAUUGGACAAUGGGCGCAAGCCUGAUCCAGCCAUACCGCGUGGGUGAAGAAGGCCUUCGGAUUGUAAAGCCCUUUUGUUGGGAAAGAAAAGCAGCAGGUUAAUACCCCGCUGUUCUGACGGUACCCAAAGAAUAAGCACCGGCUAACUUCGUG